AUUGAAACACCGGUUCCCGUACGAUAAGCGAAGUUAAGCAAUGUCGAACCUGCUCAGUACCUAGAUGGUGGCCGUUUGGGAGUAUCAGGUGCCGUAAG